rnacentral:rRNA from 1 species
GACGAACGACUGGCGGCGUGCCUAAUACAUGCAAGUCGAGCGAACCACUUCGGUGGUUAGCGGCGGACGGGUGAGUAACACGUGGGCAACCUGCCUGUAAGACUGGGAUAACACCGGGAAACCGGUGCUAAUACCGGAUAAUCCCUUUCCUCACAUGAGGAAAAGCUGAAAGUCGGUUUCGGCUGACACUUACAGAUGGGCCCGCGGCGCAUUAGCUAGUUGGUGAGGUAACGGCUCACCAAGGCGACGAUGCGUAGCCGACCUGAGAGGGUGAUCGGCCACACUGGGACUGAGACACGGCCCAG